CCGUUCUCAUUGGGGAGCCCGUAUUUAUACAGAUGCACGUAGCAACUAGAGUACAGGCUGAGAUUGCAUCGCAGAACCCACAGAACCUGAACCAGGUCAUGCUGGCGUAGGAAUUGAGAAAAGAAGGUCG
rnacentral:ncRNA from 2 species